UCAAUCAAUCAAUCAAUACUAGAAACUCGUCCUAAACUUCCUCCAUUCUAUGUGUCCCUAGUAAUUUGAAUAUCCCAGAACAGCUGACAGGAGAUGGAAGACAAUCAAGAAGAAGGAGAAGUCCUCCCCUCGACUUUGGUAUCAGGAUAUAUGAAGACUAUGGUGAUGACUCAAGCAUAUACUACGCAAGUACUAUGAGAGAGGGGCACAAAUAAUAUUGCUUCAUCAUCAACCUGAAUGGGAACUACUCUGAGAACUACUUGAGUGAUACAAGAAAGGAUUCCCAUGAUAUCCCUAUGAAUUUUGAAGUUGUAGAGUCCAUUCUUAAGUUGAAAGACUUAAGAAUAAAAAGAGCUGUCACGUUAAAAAAAGAAGAAGAAGAAGAAGAAGAAGAGGGGAAAAAAUCAACUGCUUCUCUCCUAGCAAAGGGGAAGUAUGUACAAGUUUCUUCAGGGACUCAAACGUGCUGAGAGGCAAAUGAAUGGCCACUGUGGGGAAUGUAUUUCUCCUGCUGAAAAAGCAAAGGCUAAUAAUAAUUGAGGUUGAUUUGCAAAAUGCACAGCUUUACAAUAAUCAUAUGAUAACCAGUAAUUUUGAAAUUGAGGUAGGGGAAAAAAGGAAGCACUAGAGUAGCCGGAAUUAUGAAAAUCAAAAAGUUACUUAAAAUAUUUGAGGGUGUGCUGUUACUGAAUCAGAUGCCAUAUGUUUUAUUUGCUUCAGAAGAGAAAACCUGUUAUCAGUUGAAACAUAACUCACACACAGGUGUUUAAUUUUGAUUCUACAAGCUGAUCAUGAUGAGCCAGAAGGAUUCCUGUUGCAGUAGAGGUGGAGGUAUUCAUUUGGUGGAGCUAGGGAGGGAAAAGAGAAAGUAGAAAAAUAGUUGUUGUUUUUUAACCAAUAUUUGCAAAGAAGAUAAAACUGUUAGAAUUCUGUCACCUGAUGUGUGAACCUCAUUCUGCUUUAUGGGAGGAAAGCAGGGUCAGGUCUUUGCUUUGAUGAUUCUCCACUUAAUUUAAUUAAAAGGAUCUGUUGUAAGAUGACAUUAAAAUAUUGGAAUUGAAAUAUGAGCAGUUGUUUAGCAGUGUCUAUUCCUGCAUAAUGGAUCAUGGCCUUCUCUUAUAAUCCUCAUAUCAUAUUUUCCAUAGUAUCACACCCACAUCAUGGAUGACAAAACUGAGGCAGAUAUAAUUUGACUAGCUUGCUCCAUAUCACACAUUAUCACUCAACUGAUAUUUCACG
rnacentral:lncRNA from 1 species